CUUAACUCUUUAACUAUUAGUUUCAUGAACUAUAAACUAUUAAAACAGGAGGUUGUUAUGGCCUCACCCAUGGAUGAUGCUCAAAGAAUAUGAAAAACAGAGUCAUGAUCACAUACCUCAUGCAGUGUGCUUCACAACAUUCUACUGAAAACGGAACUCACAGCUUGAAGCUCGCAUGCUGAAUUCAGGGUCACUGAAUGGCAGGGCAGCUCUCCUUUGGCAGGGAAAGGCUAGCAAUUUAUCAUCCAUUAGCUAUUCAGCUCCUCUUGCCCUCCAUGCCAGAGGAGAACUGCACUGUGAUUCUCACCCUGACAAUUUAUUCAAUCUGCCCAUUACUGCUCCUCUCGUCAUUCUUUGCUUCCAAUAUUUUCCUUGCUCUGUAUUUUAAUUGUUGAACUCAGGUAUAUAUAGCACAAAGAUCACUGAGUAAAAUCUGGAUAUGCCUUGGAAUAUGCUACCUAAGCUGACAAUGCUUGAGCAGCUAA
rnacentral:precursor_RNA from 1 species